UACGAAGGGGGCUAGCGUUGCUCGGAAUCACUGGGCGUAAAGCGCACGUAGGCGGCUUUCUAAGUCAGGGGUGAAAUCCUGGAGCUCAACUCCAGAACUGCCUUUGAUACUGGAGAGCUUGAGUCCGGAAGAGGUGAGUGGAACUCCGAGUGUAGAGGUGAAAUUCGUAGAUAUUCGGAAGAACACCAGUGGCGAAGGCGGCUCACUGGUCCGGUACUGACGCUGAGGUGCGGAAAGCGUGGGGAG
rnacentral:rRNA from 1 species